AGAGACUCUUUCAGUAGAAAGUUCAUUUAAAAAAAAAAAUACAAGAUGAUCCUUCCGUGACCCUCAUUUCUCCUUCAAAGGCGGAAGAAUCAUGCUAUCUCUUCGAAGACCAGGAAGAUGAGUGAAGGAUGCCCAGCUCUUAAAGUGCAAGACAGACAUCUCGGAACUUUAGAAACUAUUUUCAGACUUACAGAGCGAGGAUCUCAAACAAUAUGCCCAUAUAUCAAAGUGCCAACAGGAUAAUUCAGAAUUAGUGAAAUCGAAUUUGGAAGUGCAAAAUAAAUAUAACAUCUGGACGUUGGCAAUCUAAAAAUUCUCAUAAAUCAAAAAAAUAUGGAAAUCGAGCUACUUAAAGAUCUACUUAAAGAGCUACUUAAAGAAAAUUCAGUUCCGCGAAAACAUCGAUAUGUUGGGAAAAAUAGUAAAGAUUGAAGGAAUGGAUCAAAAUAAUCAAACAAAAUCGAGUAAUAAAACAUAGGUGUUCUUUAUUAUUCGAUUUUGUUUGAUUAUUUUCAUCCAUUCCUCCAAUCUUUACUAUUUUUCCCAACUUAUCGAUGUUUUCGGACGAAAACCAAUCAGACGACGUUGAAAACAGGAACCAUAGAUACUUGUCCAGAAAGCUAAGAUGAUACCGACGUCCUCCGCGAAAUCCAGCUUCCAGGCUCAGACCCGUUUAAAGUAUCUUGGAUCUGGAUGGUUGAAUUUAUAUAGAAAACAAAUCGGAGGAUUCGGAGAUUUAAAAACUGAUGGUACAAAGGACUAAUGGAUU